AACGACCUCUGGCGGCGUGGAUAAGACAUGCAAGUCGAACGGGAGAAUUGCUAGCUUGCUAAUAAUUCUCUAGUGGCGCACGGGUGAGUAACACGUGAGUAACCUGCCCCCGAGAGCGGGAUAGCCCUGGGAAACUGGGAUUAAUACCGCAUAGUAUCGAAAGAUUAAAGCAGCAAUGCGCUUGGGGAUGGGCUCGCGGCCUAUUAGUUUAGUUGGUGAGGUAACGGCUCACCAAGGCGAUGACGGGUAGCCGGUCUGAGAGGAUGUCCGGCCACACUGGAACUGAGACACGGUCCAGACACCUACGGGUGGCAGCAGUCGAGAAUCAUUCACAAUGGGGGAAACCCUGAUGGUGCGACGCCGCGUGGGGGAAUGAAGGUCUUCGGAUUGUAAACCCCUGUCAUGUGGGAGCAAAUUAAAAAGAUAGUACCACAAGAGGAAGAGACGGCUAACUCUGUGCCAGCAGCCGCGGUAAUACAGAGGUCUCAAGCGUUGUUCGGAAUCACUGGACGUAAAGCGUGCGUAGGCUGUUUCGUAAGUCGUGUGUGAAAGGCGCGGGCUCAACCCGCGGACGGCACAUGAUACUGCGAGACUAGAGUAAUGGAGGGGGAACCGGAAUUCUCGGUGUAGCAGUGAAAUGCGUAGAUAUCGAGAGGAACACUCGUGGCGAAGGCGGGUUCCUGGACAUUAACUGACGCUGAGGCACGAAGGCCAGGGGAGCGAAAGGGAUUAGAUACCCCUGUAGUCCUGGCAGUAAACGGUGCACGCUUGGUGUGCGGGGAAUCGACCCCCUGCGUGCCGGAGCUAACGCGUUAAGCGUGCCGCCUGGGGAGUACGGUCGCAAGAUUAAAACUCAAAGAAAUUGACGGGGACCCGCACAAGCGGUGGAGUAUGUGGCUUAAUUCGAUGCAACGCGAAGAACCUUACCUGGGCUUGACAUGUAAUGAACAACAUGUGAAAGCAUGCGACUCUUCGGAGGCGUUACACAGGUGCUGCAUGGCCGUCGUCAGCUCGUGUCGUGAGAUGUUUGGUUAAGUCCAGCAACGAGCGCAACCCCUGUUGCCAGUUACCAGCACGUGAAGGUGGGGACUCUGGCGAGACUGCCCAGAUCAACUGGGAGGAAGGUGGGGACGACGUCAGGUCAGUAUGGCCCUUAUGCCCAGGGCUGCACACGUACUACAAUGCCCAGUACAGAGGGGGCCGAAGCCGCGAGGCGGAGGAAAUCCUAAAAACUGGGCCCAGUUCGGACUGUAGGCUGCAACCCGCCUACACGAAGCCGGAAUCGCUAGUAAUGGCGCAUCAGCUACGGCGCCGUGAAUACGUUCCCGGGUCUUGC
rnacentral:rRNA from 1 species